rnacentral:rRNA from 1 species
UGGGAGAUAUUGGACAAUGGGCGCAAGCCUGAUCCAGCAAUGCCGCGUGAGUGAAGAAGGCCCUAGGGUUGUAAAGCUCUUUCGCCCGCGACGAUGAUGACGGUAGCGGGAGAAGAAGCCCCGGCUAACUCCGUGCCAGCAGCCGCGGUAAUACGGAGGGGCGUAGCGUUGUUCGGAAUUACUGGGCGUAAAGGGCGCGUAGGCGGCCCGCCAAGUCCGGCGUGAAAGUCCUGGGCUCAACCCGGGCAGCGGCGCUGGAGACUGGCGGGCUGGAGUCCGGGAGAGGGUGGCGGAAUUCCCAGUGUAGAGGUGAAAUUCGUAGAUAUUGGGAAGAACACCGGUGGCGAAGGCGGCCACCUGGCCCGGGACUGACGCUGAGGCGCGAAAGCGUGGGGAGCAAACAGGAUUAGAUACCC